rnacentral:lncRNA from 10 species
GUAGGAUGAGGUCUUGUCUCACUGCCCUUUCAUAGCAUUCCCCUUUGGAACCUGAUCCUCUCCUGGCUUCCUAGGGUCUAGCCAGGUGGUUCUGUUUUCCAUGGCCUGCCCCUCCACUGUUCCUCUCCUGUACAGCCUGCCUUUGUAGAAGACAGAAUCUCAGGUGACUUUGAUCUCCAUGGUAUAGUCCUCUGCUUUUUCUGUCCUUCAUGACUAGGCUCAUUGGAGGUUCCAUCUCUGGAGCUUCUAUCAGUGGGGGCCUGGCCUUUGGGUGGUUUAGUCCUCCAGAGAUCGAGGACACUAUGCUCUGGCCCCCCCAAGGUACCAUCCCAGAUGAUGUGGUCCUCUGAGAGGCCCAACUCUUGUGUCCUGACUGUUCGGCAGUCAGGCUCUUUGUGGUCUAGUUUUCUGGGAGACAUCUCCUUAAUAUUUGAGUCCUCAUAGAGUGCAGACAGCUGUGUCCUGGACUUCCUGGGACAAUGGUUCCUAGGUUUUAAACCUCUGGGGGUCUGGUCCUCCAGGAUUUUCAUCUGCAGCAGGCAGGUCCCUCCAAAGGUCUGUCUUCCAUCGUCUGGCCCUUUGGUGAGCCUGUCCCCCAAGGCCUGGCUGUUUGAUGGUAUAGACGACGGUGGUCCAGACUUGCUGUAGCAUGGUUCUCUGCACUUAGCCCCAGCAAUGUUUUUUUGUGUAGUGGCCAAACUUCCUGGGGAUCUGUGGGGUGAUUUGACCCUGUGACAGGAGUCAUCCUCCUGUUCUAGCUCUCCAGUGGUCCUGUCUCUGUAGGACUGGUCCUCCAGUGGUGCGCUUGGUUGUGACUGGUCCCUCUCACAGGCCUGUUCCCCAUGUUCUAGGAACACGCGGGGUUCCUCUCUGAUCGGGCCCGCCUCUGGGGAUCUCAGUGUUUGUUUAAGAAGUAGGUACUGUUGGGGGAGAGAACAUACAUUGUACCAAGCAGGCCUGCUUGGGCAUGGCAGGUCGUCUCUCCCUAACCCCCACCCUUGACCCUAAAUGUUCAGAAAGAGUUCCAGGUUAGUGUUACCUCCUUACGGCUAUUGAUGGCCUGUUGCAGCCACAGCAAUUCCAUGGCCAAGUGGCUGCGGUGGUACUGAAGCUCUUGAAGCUGAGGUUGGCUGUGGGGCAGUCUUUGAUCUGUGGCUUCUGUGAAGGAGGGAAGAAAGGAAGGAGAAAACCUUGAGGGACCAGACCCUGGGAAAUGGCCUAGCCUUAGACUUUGGAAACUCCCUCCCCUGCACUGCCCAACCAUGUGGUGGCCCUAUCCCGGCAGAGGGAAGACGGGAAAGGGAUGCAGCUUAUCUAGCGCAAGCCUUUCACUCUUCAGAUGGGAGGCUGAGGCACAGUGAGGGUCAGGGGCUUGCCCUGAUCUUUGCAGAGAGGUACCUGGAUUCUCCAUCCUUGUCGUGUCUCUGGUCUUCUCUUGGCUGGGUUUCCUGUUCUGCUUCAUCUGAAGCCAGGAGCUGUGAUCUCUGCAGAGGCUUCCUUGAUUUGCUGAGCUCUCUCCUGACUUCUUCAGCACCAUCUCCUCCCAGGUGGCCUCUCCCUCAGACUCUUCACAUGGGAAGUGGUUCCACAGCCCCUGCUCUGGAUUUGCUACCCUGUCUCCUGCUUUCCAGGUCUGAUGGGAUUUUGCCUUCUGAGAAACAAGAGAGAUGUGAGAGCCCCAGGGCUAAACCCUUCCAAGUAUCUGGGCACCAUGAUCUAGCAGACAAGUUGGUGAGGGUUAAGGAGUGGGGUGUGAGGAGGUGAGUCUACUGCCUCUUCCAGUGAGAAAAGCUUAUCACUGGGAAGGGUGGGUUCCACCCUGCCCAAGUCCCUCCUUCCCUUCUCUCCUAGGUGUGUUCUACCUCUGGGAGGAAUCGCGGCCUGGGAAUGCGGCCCUCGGUCCACUGAAGCGUGCCCAGGUCGCCCUCGACCUCUCGUACAAUCGCCUCAUACUCAGCUCGCAGGCUCUGGAACUGGCGUCGGACCAAGAAGCCCCGGACGCAGGCCUGGUAUGGAGAACGAGAGGAAAGAAGUCCCUUAUCACGGAAAAAUCCUGUGAACCCCGCGCC